rnacentral:rRNA from 1 species
UACGUAGGGUGCAAGCGUUGUCCGGAAUUAUUGGGCGUAAAGAGCUCGUAGGCGGUCUGUCACGUCGGCUGUGAAAACCCGGGGCUCAACCCCGGGCCUGCAGUCGAUACGGGCAGACUAGAGUGCGGUAGGGGAGACUGGAAUUCCUGGUGUAGCAGUGAAAUGCGUAGAUAUCAGGAGGAACACCGAUGGCGAAGGCAGGUCUCUGGGCUGACACUGACGCUCAUGCACGAAAGCGUGGGGAGCAAACAGG